rnacentral:sRNA from 1 species
UAUAGAGAUGGGGUCUCACUAUGUUGCUCAGGCUAGUCUCAAACUCCUGGGCUCAAGCAAUCCUCCUGCCUCAGCCUCCCAAAGUGCUGGGAUUACAGGCGCAAGCCACUACAGCCAACUACUUGUAUUUAUUUACUGCUCCUCCCUGCCUCCUACAAACAGACCCCAGGUCUGUUUCCUUAAAUGCCAAACUACAUGAAUCCUUAAAAUGCUAAACCGCUAAGGUCCUCCAGCCUCAGUGUUCUUUUCAGAAACAUGGGGCUAAGAACCACACUUCGGUGUGUAGGUUUGUUCCUGCCAGCCUCUUUCUCAUCCCCACAUCACUGUGCAGCUUUUGCUCUGCAAUGACCCUUGGUCUUACCUCUGCCCAGCAGGUGAUGAGAUCUGGGAACAGAGAGGAAACAGAGGGGAAACAGAGAAGGGAGGUCAUCUCCCCGGGCUCACAUAGCCAGUGAGCGGCCAGACAGGGCCAGAGGCAAGUCUCCCAAUCUGAGCAGUUACUGGCAGAGGUGAUUCUUCAUCUGUGCAACGCGUACAACAUCACGAGCCUCAUGGAGGGAAAUGACCUUAUGUCCAUGAAAGGCAUUCUUCAGCGAGUGUGGACCAUGUUGUUGGACUCUAAGAUCUGGAUUAUUAGUCCAGAUGCCUGCACGGUACAUAUCAGCUGUGUGACCUAGGACAAUGUUAUUUCACCUGCUGGAGACUCAGUUUUCUCAUCUGUAAGUUGGGUGGUAAUACAAGUACAAGCCUUUUAGGGUUGUCAUGAAGGUGCAGUAGGAGCCCGCCGUGGGAAGUGCAGUGCCUGGUGCAGCAAGCAGAUGUCGGCUCUGAUCCUCCCCAGGAUGAAGGGCCGGCGGCUCACACACCCCGAGUCCCGAGCACACCAGGCUCUUCCGGGACACUCGCUCAGCUCAUCCUCCCACAGCCUUAGGAGUGCCUGUGCCAUGCAGAUCCAAACAUCAAGGACCUGGGAGGUGGAGUGGCUCAAGCGGGGUCACCCGUUAGAAGAGGCAAAGGCAGGAUUAGAACCCAGGCCCGUGGGAGUCCAAGUGCGUCCCCUACCCGCUGUUCAGCGUCCACUCUCCAGCUCCUCCCUGGGAACCCUGGAGCCCCAGUGGGGAGUUCAGAGAUCCGCCCAGCCAUUCCUCCGCUGUGUGACCCCAAGCACAUUCCUUCCCCUCUCUGUGCCUCUUGGAGUUGCAGGAGAGUUGGGAGGGGUGAUUCUGCAUCAUGAGCACCCUCCUUUCUCCCCUUCUGCAGAGAAGAGCGUUCCUCUUUGCAUCCUCUAUGAGAAAUACCGUGACUGCCUCACGGAGUCCAACCUCAUCAAGGUGCGGGCCCUCCUCGUGGAGCCAGUUAUCAACAGCUACCUGCUGGCUGAGAGGGACCUCUACCUGGAGAAUCCAGAAAUCAAGAUCCGGAUCCUUGGGGAGCCCAAGCAGAAACGCAAGCUGGUGGCUGAGGUGUCCCUGCAGAACCCGCUCCCUGUGGCCCUGGAAGGCUGCACCUUCACUGUGGAGGGGGCCGGCCUGACUGAGGAGCAGAAGACGGUGGAGAUCCCAGACCCUGUGGAGGCAGGAGAGGAAGUUAAGGUGAGAAUAGACCUGCUGCCGCUCCACGUGGGCCUCCACAAGCUGGUGGUGAACUUCGAGAGCGACAAGCUGAAGGCUGUGAAGGGCUUCCGGAACGUCAUCAUUGGCCCCGCCUAAGGGACCCCUGCUCCCAGCCUGCUGACAGCCCCCACCUUGAUCCCAAUCCUUAUCCCAAGCUACUGAGGAAAAUAUGCCCCUUCUUGGGCCCCAGACCCCAGGGCAGGGUGGGCAGCCUAUGGGGGCUCUCGGAAAUGGAAUGUGCCCCUGGCCCAUCUCAGCCUCCUGAGCCUGUGGGUCCCCACUCACCCCCUUUGCUGUGAGGAAUGCUCUGUGCCAGAAACAGUGGCAGCCCUGACCUUGGCUGACUGGGGCUGGGGUGAGAGAGGAAAGACCUACAUUCCCUCUCCUGCCCAGAUGUCCUUUGGAAAGCCAUUGACCACCCGCCAUAUUGUUUGAUCUACUUCCUCGCCCCUUGGAGCAGGCAAAAAAGGGACAGCAUGCCCCUUGGCUGGAUCAGGGAAUCCAGCUCCCUAGACUGCAUCCUGUACCUCUUCCCAUGACUGCACCCAGCUCCAGGCGCCCUUGGGACAGCCAGAGCUGGGUGGGGACAGUGACAGGCCCAAGGUCCCCUCCACAUCCCAGCAGCCCAAGCUUAAUAGCCCUUCCCCUCAACCUCACCAUUGUGAAGCACCUACUAUGUGCUGGGUGCCUCCCACACUUGCUGGGGCUCACGGGGCCACCAACCCAUUUAAUCACCAUGGGAAACUGUUGUAGGCGCUGCUUCCAGGAUGAGGAGACUUAGAGAGAGGAGGCAGCCCCCUCCGCACAGUGGCCUCAUGAUUAUUAGCAAGGCUGGGUAAUGUGAAGGCCCAAGAACAGAGUCUGGGCCUCUGACUCUGAGUCCACUGCUCCAUUUAUAACCCCAGCCUGACCUGAGACUGUCGGAGAGGCUGUCUGGGACCUGAUCAAAAAAAGACUCAGCUGAGACAAGGAGGUAGAGAGGGGACUGGGGGACUGGGAGUCAGAGCCCUGGCUGGGUUCAGGCCCCACGUCUGGCCAGGCACUGCCUUCCCCUCUCUGGGCCUUUGUCUCCUUAUUGGUCAGAGGAGUGAUUGAACCAGCUCAUCUCCAAGGAUCCUCUCCACUCCAUGUUUGCAAUGCUUUUAUAUGGCCCAGCCUUGUAAAUAACCACAGGGUCCACUCCCUGCUCCACAAAGCCUUAAGCCAUAGGCCCAGGAUAUUUCUGAGAGUGAAACCAUGACUGUGACCACCUUCUGUCCCCACCCCUGUCCUGGUCCCCUCCUGUGCCCAGGUACCACCCUUUGGACCCCAGUUCUAGGGGAGAAGAGCCCUGGACACCCCUGCCCUACCCAUAAGCCUGCCCGCUGCAAUGCCUAGACUUCCCAACAGCCUUAGCUGCCAGUGCUGGUCACUAACCAACAAGGUUGGCACCCCAGCUACCCCUUCUUUGCAGGGCUAAGGCCCCCAAACAUAGCCCCUGUCCCGGAGGAAGCUUGGGGAGCCCAUGAGUUGUCAGCUCUGAUUUUAUCUCCUGCUCUUUCUACAUGACUGGGCCUCCCUUGGGCUGGAAGAAGGGGGGAUUCUCUAUUGGAGGUGAAAUCACAGCCUCCAGGGUCCCCCAAAUCCCAGAGAAGGACUUGGAAAGAAUCAUGCUGUUGCAUUUAGAACUUUGCUUUGCACAGGAAAGAGUCACACAAUUAAUCAACAUGUAUAUUUUCUCUAUACAUAGAGCUCUAUUUCUCUACGGUUUUAUAAAAGCCUUGGGUUCCAAGCAGGCAGUAGAUGUGCUUCUGAACCGCAAGGAGCAAACACUGAAAUAAAAUAGUUUAUUUUUCACACUCAAA